CAAUAGCGUAUAUUUAAGUUGUUGCAGUUAAAAAGCUCGUAGUUGGAUUUCGGAUGGGACUUGCCGGUCCGUCGUUUCGAUGUGCACUGGCCAGUCCUAUCUUGUUGUCGGGGACUAGCUCCUGGGCUUCACUGUCCGGGACUAGGAGCUGACGAGGUUACUUUGAGUAAAUUAGAGUGUUCAAAGCAAGCCUACGCUCUGAAUACAUUAGCAUGGAAUAACACGAUAGGACUCUGGCUUAUCUUGUUGGUCUGUGAGACCAGAGUAAUGAUUAAGAGGGACAGUCGGGGGCAUUCGUAUUUCAUUGUCAGAGGUGAAAUUCUUAGAUUUAUGGAAGACGAACAUCUGCGAAAGCAUUUGCCAAGGAUGUUUUCAUUGA
rnacentral:rRNA from 1 species